rnacentral:lncRNA from 1 species
GGUAAACCUGAAGCCUGUGGAGGUAUAUCUGAGAAAUUCAGACAUCACCAGGACAUGACAGUUUUUUUGCAGGAAGGAUCUGAGUGACCAAACACUAAAGUGACAGAUGAAGUCCCAUUCUGCACACAAAGUAUUGCCAAAGACAAAACUAAUGUUUAAACAAGUGGUUUACAGCAAACAGAGUAAUAGGCAGAACUUCUGAGUCCUUUUAGCUCAGUAAAGUAAGUGGGAACUCUGCAUAACACUACUCAGUUCAGCAUUAUUUCAUAUUUUUCAGCAUAUGUCUGCUGCACCAAAAUCUGCAUGGUAAUGAUUUUGUCUGCUACAUGUUGGCUGCAUUUCUUUUUUUCCCCCAAAGGGCUGAAGGUUAUAUAUUUGCUUCAAUCCAA